UGCUUUGACCUUUUAAUACCAUUAUUGAUGUCAAAUCGAUACCAAUUACCGGUACAUUGUUCUGAAUAUAGUUUAAAAUAUGUGCAUUAAUCUAAUACUAUCUAAUGAUGAUUGCCAAGUACAGGAAUUUUGGCAGAAUGGUGCCAGCUAUUACACUACUUGCUUAAGUGUCGAGUGGAUACAGGAAUAGAGAGAACACAGGACAAAUUGCUCCAUGGUGGCUGAUAAAUUCAAACUUGUGAUAGAGGAAACCCAUUUCAUUAGAUGUUUAGUGACACCCCAGCACAUAGGAGAAUUGGAUGUCAGAUAAAGUUAUAUAUAAA